rnacentral:rRNA from 1 species
GAUGAACGCUGGCGGCGUGCCUAAUACAUGCAAGUCGAGCGAACAGAUGAGGAGCUUGCUCCUCUGACGUUAGCGGCGGACGGGUGAGUAACACGUGGAUAACCUACCUAUAAGACUGGGAUAACUUCGGGAAACCGGAGCUAAUACCGGAUAAUAUAUUGAACCGCAUGGUUCAAUAGUGAAAGACGGUUUUGCUGUCACUUAUAGAUGGAUCCUCGCCGCAUUAGCUAGUUGGUAAGGUAACGGCUUACCAAGGCAACGAUGCGUAGCCGACCUGAGAGGGUGAUCAGCCACACUGGAACUGAGACACGGUCCAGACUCCUACGGGAGGCAGCAGUAGGGAAUCUUGCGCAAAGGGCGAAAGCUUGACGCAGCAACGCCGCGUGAGUGAUGAAGGUCUUCGGAUCGUAAAACUCUGUUAUUAGGGAAGAACAAAUGUGUAAGUAACUAUGCACGUCUUGACGGUACCUAAUCAGAAAGCCACGGCUAACUACGUG